CGCGCCUACGGGGGGCAGCAGUGAGGAAUAUUGGUCAAUGGCCGAGAGGCUGAACCAGCCAAGUCGCGUGAGGGAAGACGGCCCUACGGGUUGUAAACCUCUUUUGUCGGGGAGCAAAGCGAGUCACGUGUGACUCAUUGAGAGUACCCGAAGAAAAAGCAUCGGCUAACUCCGUGCCAGCAGCCGCGGUAAUACGGAGGAUUCGUGCGUUAUCCGGAUUUAUUGGGUUUAAAGGGUGCGUAGGCGGAAUAUCAAGUCAUCGGUAACAAUUCGGGGCUCAACCCCGUCGUGCCGUUGA
rnacentral:rRNA from 1 species